rnacentral:rRNA from 1 species
AACGUGGGUAACCUGCCUUAUAGUGGGGGAUAGCCUUUCGAAAGGAAGAUUAAUACCGCAUAAGAUUGUAGUAUCGCAUGAUAUAGCGAUUAAAGGAGCAAUUCGCUAUAAGAUGGACCCGCGUCGCAUUAGCUAGUUGGUGAGGUAAUGGCUCACCAAGGCGACGAUGCGUAGCCGACCUGAGAGGGUGAUCGGCCACAUUGGGACUGAGACACGGCCCAGACUCCUACGGGAGGCAGCAUG